GAUGAACGCUGGCGGCGUGCCUAAUACAUGCAAGUCGAGCGAACGGACGAGAAGCUUGCUUCUCUGAUGUUAGCGGCGGACGGGUGAGUAACACGUGGAUAACCUACCUAUAAGACUGGGAUAACUUCGGGAAACCGGAGCUAAUACCGGAUAAUAUUUUGAACCGCAUGGUUCAAAAGUGAAAGACGGUCCUGCUGUCACUUAUAGAUGGAUCCGCGCUGCAUUAGCUAGUUGGUAAGGUAACGGCUUACCAAGGCAACGAUGCAUAGCCGACCUGAGAGGGUGAUCGGCCACACUGGAACUGAGACACGGUCCAGACUCCUACGGGAGGCAGCAGUAGGGAAUCUUCCGCAAUGGGCGAAAGCCUGACGGAGCAACGCCGCGUGAGUGAUGAAGGUCUUCGGAUCGUAAAACUCUGUUAUGAGGGAAGAACAUAUGUGUAAGUAACUGUGCACAUCUUGACGGUACCUAAUCAGAAAGCCACGGCUAACUACGUG
rnacentral:rRNA from 1 species